CCUACGGGUGGUGCAGUGGGGAAUAUUGCACAAUGGGCGCAAGCCUGAUGCAGCCAUGCCGCGUGUGUGAAGAAGGCCUUCGGGUUGUAAAGCACUUUCAGCGGGGAGGAAGGCGGUGAGGUUAAUAACCUCAUCGAUUGACGUUACCCGCAGAAGAAGCACCGGCUAACUCCGUGCCAGCAGCCGCGGUAAUACGGAGGGUGCAAGCGUUAAUCGGAAUUACUGGGCGUAAAGCGCACGCAGGCGGUCUGUCAAGUCGGAUGUGAAAUCCCCGGGCUCAACCUGGGAACUGCAUUCGAAACUGGCAGGCUAGAGUCUUGUAGAGGGGGGUAGAGUUCCAGGUGUAGCGGUGAAAUGCGUAGAGAUCUGGAGGAAUACCGGUGGCGAAGGCGGCCCCCUGGACAAAGACUGACGCUCAGGUGCGAAAGCGUGGGGAGCAAACAGGAUUAAUACCCCGGUAGUC
rnacentral:rRNA from 1 species